rnacentral:rRNA from 1 species
GACGAACGCUGGCGGCGUGCCUAAUACAUGCAAGUUGAGCGCUGAAGGUUGGUACUUGUACCAACUGGAUGAGCAGCGAACGGGUGAGUAACGCGUGGGUAAUCUGCCUUUGAGCGGGGGACAACAUUUGGAAACGAUUGCUAAUACCGCAUAAAAACUUUAAACACAAGUUUUAAGUUUGAAAGAUGCAAUUGCAUCACUCAAAGAUGAUCCCGCGUUGUAUUAGCUAGUUGGUGAGGUAAAGGCUCACCAAGGCGAUGAUACAUAGCCGACCUGAGAGGGGGAUCGGCCACAUUGGGAAUGAGACACGGCCCAAACUCCUACGGGAGGCAGCAGUAGGGAAGCUUCGGCAAUGGACGAAAGUCUGAACGAGCAACGCCGCGUGAGUGAAGAAGGUUUUCGGAUCGUAAAACUCUGUUGGUAGAGAAGAACGUUGGUGAGAGUGGAAAGCUCAUCAAGUGACGGUAACUACCCAGAAAGGGACGGCUAACUACGUG